UUUGAUUGAUGUUUAUCAACGAGAGUUGUUGUUACGAAUGUCAUGUGUUUGGGAAUUUAGCUAUUUUACUUAAUUUUGCAUCUCUCAUUCAAUGUUAUUUUCUUGUUUGGAAUUUUGAAAAGAAUAUCUCUAUUGAAAGUAGUUCUUUCGUUUAAAAUGUUGAAAUUUAUAUUUUCAUUUGGAGCUGGUGUGUAUGCUGGUAUUUACAUAAGCCAAAAUUAUCAGGUUCCUCGGGUUGACGAACCGGCUGAGCUAUGGAAGAAAAUUAAAGACUUUAUGGAUAAUUACAAAAAACCUCCUAGUUAAAAACAUCUAUAGCAAUGUAUUUAUUCAAACGCCUUUAUGUACUAUUUCUGAGUAUAACAUAUUUUUAAAGUGUUAUUUUUCCGAUUUUGUAUAAUUAGUACAGCAAUGUAAAUAAAGACAUAUUCU